rnacentral:rRNA from 1 species
CAUGGCUCAGGACGAACGCUGGCGGCGUGCUUAACACAUGCAAGUCGAACGAUGAAGCCCUUCGGGGUGGAUUAGUGGCGAACGGGUGAGUAACACGUGGGCAAUCUGCCCUUCACUCUGGGACAAGCCCUGGAAACGGGGUCUAAUACCGGAUAACACUCUGUCCCGCAUGGGACGGGGUUGAAAGCUCCGGCGGUGAAGGAUGAGCCCGCGGCCUAUCAGCUUGUUGGUGGGGUGAUGGCCUACCAAGGCGACGACGGGUAGCCGGCCUGAGAGGGCGACCGGCCACACUGGGACUGAGACACGGCCCAGACUCCUACGGGAGGCAGCAGUGGGGAAUAUUGCACAAUGGGCGAAAGCCUGAUGCAGCGACGCCGCGUGAGGGAUGACGGCCUUCGGGUUGUAAACCUCUUUCAGCAGGGAAGAAGCGA